GACGAACGCUGGCGGCGUGCCUAAUACAUGCAAGUCGAACGAGAGCGACCGGUGCUUGCACUGGUCAAUCUAGUGGCGAACGGGUGAGUAACACGUGGGUAACCUGCCCAUCAGAGGGGGAUAACAUCCGGAAACGGAUGCUAAAACCGCAUAGGUCUUCGAGCCGCAUGGCUUGAAGAGGAAAAGAGGCGCAAGCUUCUGCUGAUGGAUGGACCCGCGGUGCAUUAGCUAGUUGGUGAGGUAACGGCUCACCAAGGCCGUGAUGCAUAGCCGACCUGAGAGGGUGAUCGGCCACAUUGGGACUGAGACACGGCCCAAACUCCUACGGGAGGCAGCAGUAGGGAAUCUUCCGCAAUGGACGCAAGUCUGACGGAGCAACGCCGCGUGAGUGAAGAAGGUUUUCGGAUCGUAAAACUCUGUUGUUAGAGAAGAGCAAGUGCUAGAGUAACUGUUAGCGCCUUGACGGUAUCUAACCAGAAAGCCACGGCUAACUACGUG
rnacentral:rRNA from 1 species